UAAAGGAAAAAUUGUCAGUUUAAUUGAUGGUUUAGACGUGUACUCAGGAGUUCCAAAGGACUACACUGGAGCGGAUCUGACCCCAGAGAACUUCCUGUCUGCUCUUCGAGGGGAUACGAGAAUGGACAAAAAAAAAGUCAUAGCCAGUGGACCCGAUGACAACAUAUACAUCUACAUGACCGGUUUGGGACAAGUCGGCACGUUUCAGUUUCCUGAGAACGCAGUAAGUAUAAAAAGAUUCAAG